GAGGGGACAGCUCAGUGGUAGAGCGCACGCUUAGCGCACACGGGGUCCUGGGUUCAAUCCCCAGUCCCUUCA
rnacentral:tRNA from 1 species